UUCUGGUUGAUCCUGCCGAAGGCUACUGCUAUUGGAGUUCGAUUAAGCCAUGCGAGUCUAAGGGAUCUUCGGAUCCCUGGCGUAAUGCUCAGUAACACGUGGAUAAUCUACCCUCAGGUGGGGCAUAAACCCGGGAAACUGGGGCCAAUUCCCCAUAAAUACAGAUGGCUGGAAUGCUUCUGUAUUCAAAGCUCCGGCGCCUGAGGAUGAGUCUGCGGCCUAUCAGGUUGUAGUCAGGGUCAAGACCUGACUAGCCAGCGACGGGUAUGGGGUGUGAGAGCACUUGCCCAGAGAUGGUUUCUGAGACACGAAACCAGGCCCUACGGGGCGCAGCAGGCGCGAAAACUUCGCAAUGCGGGAAACCGUGACGAGGGAACUCCGAGUGUCUAUGCAUUGCAUAGACUGUUUUUUAGCCUAAAUAGCUAUUAGAGUAAGGGGUGGGCAAGACCGGUGCCAGCCGCCGCGGUAACACCGGCACCCCGAGUGGUAGCCACUAUUAUUGGGCCUAAAGCGUUCGUAGCCGGUUUGGUAAAUUCUUGGGUAAAUCGUACCGCUCAACGGUGCGGAUUCCGGGGACACUACCAGACUUGAGACCGGGGGAGAUCAGAGGUACUUGCGGGGGAGCGGUGAAAUGUUGUAAUCCCGCAGGGACCACCAGUGGCGAAGGCGUCUGAUCAGAACGGCUCUGACGGUGAGGAACGAAACCCUGGGGCGCAAACGGGAUUAGAUACCCCGGUAGUCCAGGGCGUAAACGCUGCUGACUUG
rnacentral:rRNA from 1 species